CUACGGGGUGCUCCAGUGGGGAAUAUUGCACAAUGGGCGCAAGCCUGAUGCAGCCAUGCCGCGUGUAUGAAGAAGGCCUUCGGGUUGUAAAGUACUUUCAGCGGGGAGGAAGGGAGUAAAGUUAAUACCUUUGCUCAUUGACGUUACCCGCAGAAGAAGCACCGGCUAACUCCGUGCCAGCAGCCGCGGUAAUACGGAGGGUGCAAGCGUUAAUCGGAAUUACUGGGCGUAAAGCGCACGCAGGCGGUUUGUUAAGUCAGAUGUGAAAUCCCCGGGCUCAACCUGGGAACUGCAUCUGAUACUGGCAAGCGUGAGUCUCGUAGAGGGGGGUAGAAUUCCAGGUGUAGCGGUGAAAUGCGUAGAGAUCUGGAGGAAUACCGGUGGCGAAGGCGGCCCCCUGGACGAAGACUGACGCUCAGGUGCGAAAGCGUGGGGAGCAAACAGGAUUAGAUACCCUCGUAGUC
rnacentral:rRNA from 1 species